UGGGGAAUAUUGCACAAUGGGCGCAAGCCUGAUGCAGCCAUGCCGCGUGUAUGAAGAAGGCCUUCGGGUUGUAAAGUACUUUCAGCGGGGAGGAAGGGAGUAAAGUUAAUACCUUUGCUCAUUGACGUAACCCGCAGAAGAAGCACCGGCUAACUCCGUGCCAGCAGCCGCGGUAAUACGGAGGGUGUAAGCGUUAAUCGGAAUUACUGGGCGUAAAGCGCACGCAGGCGGUUUGUUAAGUCAGAUGUGAAAUCCCCGGGCUCAACCUGGGAACUGCAUCUGAUACUGGCAAGCUUGAGUCUCGUAGAGGGGGGUAGAAUUCCAGGUGUAGCGGUGAAAUGCGUAGAGAUCUGGAGGAAUACCGGUGGCGAAGGCGGCCCCCUGGACGAAGACUGACGCUCAGGUGCGAAAGCGUGGGGAGCAAACAGG
rnacentral:rRNA from 1 species